rnacentral:rRNA from 1 species
UACGUAGGUGGCAAGCGUUGUCCGGAUUCAUUGGGCGUAAAGAGCGCGCAGGCGGUUUGGUAAGUCGGAUGUGAAAUCCCGGGGCUCAACCCCGGACCUGCAUCCGAUACUGCCCGACUAGAGGUAGGUAGGGGAGAUCGGAAUUCCUGGUGUAGCGGUGAAAUGCGCAGAUAUCAGGAGGAACACCGGUGGCGAAGGCGGAUCUCUGGGCCUUACCUGACGCUCAGGCGCGAAAGCUAGGGGAGCGAACAGG